AGAGAGGCUGCCUUUGGCAGCUGAUGGGAGCUGAUGCAGAGACCCACACCAAACUUGAGCUGAAAGCUCUCUACUUGGAAGUCUCCUUCCAGUCUCUCCCCCUCAGAGUUUGGGGAGCCCUGAGGAAAAGGGGAAGAAAGAAUUGGAGGAUUCUGCCAGUGAGGUGGAGGACACCAGGAGAACAUGACCCACAGAAUCAACUAAGCAGGGUCCUGCUGGAGUUGGGUUCGAGGUGCAGGCUCAGGGCAUCCGGGUCUGCGGAUUGGUCUCUCAGCGAGACGGCAUCUCCGUAGGACUCUGGGAGUGAUUUGGGCUGCCGUCAGAACAGGACGCGCUCACUUUUCGGGAGUGGGCUUCUAAGAAGAACAGGGAGUCUGUGCUAGGGUGGUGGCUCACACUUUUAAUCCCAGGACCCAGGAAGCAGAGGAACGUGCACAUGAAUGCAGUUGCCUGUUGAAGGCAGAAGAGUGUGUCAGAUCUCGGAAGCUGGAGUUGUAGGCACGGGUGCUGAAAAAUGAACGCAGGUCCUCCUAACUGUUGCAACAUCUCUCCCGCCCUACUAUUUUAUUGCUUAAAAUAAAUUCCCAGGAAGGAGAUUGAUAGAUAAAAGACCAUGACUAUUUAUAGUUUUUGAACCAUAUGACCAAUCAUCCACCAUAAUGUUCCAACAGAUGUAUAUGCUCCCUUGAUGCAGUCGCCCACACUUGUAAGUAAGCCCAGCACUGGGAGGCUGUGAUGGUUUGUAUAUGGUUGGCCCAGGGAGCGGCACUCUUAGGAGGUGUGGCCUUGUUGGAGGAGGUGUGUUACUGUGGGUAAGGGUUAGUCCUAGCUGUCUGGAAGCCAGUCUUCUCCAAGCAACCUUCAGAUGAACAUGAGGAACUCCCACCUCCUCCUCUACCAUGUCUGCCUGGAUGCUGCCAUGCUCCAGUCUUGAUGAUAAUGGGCUGAACCUCUGAAUCUGUAAGCCAGCCCCAGUUAAAUGUAAAUAACAGUUGCCUUGGUCAUGGUGUCUGUUCACAGCAGUAAAUCCUAAAACAGAGGCUAAGAUAGGAUGACUGCCGCAAGUUCAACACCAGGGUAGACCACAUAGAAAGUUUAAAGAGAGCCCUGAACUCCGGGGCAAGACCCUGCCCCUCCCAAAAUAUAGACUUAAAAGCAGUUUUUGGAAGUUUAUUAAAUUCUACUACUUUGAAGUUCUUCCUUCAUUGUCCAUCUACAAAGUGCAGACAGUUAUGUUAGCUCUUAUUUAUUUCAUUUUUAAUGAAUCUGGAUGCUGUUUUGUUAGGUCUCAGACAAUGUUCUACUUUGAACUUCAGCUGUGAGGCUCCGGGUAGCAGCGAGUGUUAGGCUGGGCAUCCACGGAAGCCCACUUAUCUAAAGGCCAGAUCCACCCAAGAGGAGCCAGAUUGUCUUUAGACCUCCAACUGAGAUUUUAUUAACCAAGGAAUCUCGAAUGGGAAUCACAGAGGGAGCAACCAAACGUUUGUCACAACAAGAAGCUUUCUCCAAGCCCAUCUUCAUUUCGCCUCAAAGUCACUGUCUGCCUCUUGGCAGCUGCCUGCAUCCUGCCUCUACCGCCUGGUUCUCUCUAGCUCUCUCCUUUGAAGAGUGUUUUUAAUUAUCUGGCUGAUGUUUGUUUUGGUUUGAUUUGAUUUUUGGUUUCUUUUCUCUUUUUUUAGAUUAGCACUCAUGUAUCCCAGGCUGGCCUCACACUCUCUAAGAAGCAGACAGACAGUGAUGACCUUGAACUCCUGACUUCAUAACUGCUGAGACUACAGCUGUGCCCACCAUGCCCAGCUUUGACCCUUUUUUGAGCUUUAUAUUUUGUAUAACUCCCAGGAAGAUUUACAUGUUAAUAUCUGUGACUAUUUUUGCUCCUAUAAUUUGUAUAUUGUCUAUCUCUUCAAGUUGGAGAAUCUUCAGAAAACAAAAGGGACAAUUUUUCACUCCUUGAAAGCCAUAUGCAUUUGAUAGUCAUUUGCAUGUCUUUAUAUAGAAAACACUUGCUUAUUUUCUCUAACUUGUCUUUUGCUUCUACCUUACAAAAUCUAUUUAUUAAUUAUUUUAAAUUGUGGUUUGUUUGGGGUUUUUUGUUUGUUUGUUUGUUUACGUGCCUGCUUGUUUGCUAGAGACAGGGACUAAUAGUCCAUGCUGACCUCUAACUCACUGUUUAAUCAAGGAUGGCCUUGAACUUUGAUCUUCCUGCUGAUCCUCCUGCCUUUACUUCCCAAGAGCUAUGAUUACAGGUGAACACCAUGACACCUCAUUUACGCGGUGCUGGGGACUGAACCUGGGGCUCCAAGUCUACUAGGCUAGCCCUCUACCAACUGAGCUACAUCUCCAGCUCAAAAGUUUGUCUAUAUUGAAAACAUUUGCUGUAACCUGUUUUUGCAUUUUAAUUAUAAAUAAUAGUUUCAAUGAGAA
rnacentral:lncRNA from 1 species